AACCUGGCGGAAGCCUACACAUGCAAGUCGAUCGGCAGCGGGAAAGUAGCUUGCUACUUUUGCCGGCGAGCGGCGGACGGGUGAGUAAUGCCUGGGAAAUUGCCCAGUCGAGGGGGAUAACAGUUGGAAACGACUGCUAAUACCGCAUACGCCCUACGGGGGAAAGCAGGGGACCUUCGGGCCUUGCGCGAUUGGAUAUGCCCAGGUGGGAUUAGCUAGUUGGUGAGGUAAUGGCUCACCAAGGCGACGAUCCCUAGCUGGUCUGAGAGGAUGAUCAGCCACACUGGAACUGAGACACGGUCCAGACUCCUACGGGAGGCAGCAGUGGGGAAUAUUGCACAAUGGGGGAAACCCUGAUGCAGCCAUGCCGCGUGUGUGAAGAAGGCCUUCGGGUUGUAAAGCACUUUCAGCGAGGAGGAAAGGUCAGUAGCUAAUACCUGCUGGCUGUGACGUUACUCGCAGAAGAAGCACCGGCUAACUCCGUGCCAGCAGCCGCGGUAAU
rnacentral:rRNA from 1 species